rnacentral:rRNA from 1 species
GACGAACGCUGGCGGCGUGCUUAACACAUGCAAGUCGAACGGAAAGGCCCUGCUUUUGUGGGGUGCUCGAGUGGCGAACGGGUGAGUAACACGUGAGUAACCUGCCCUUGACUUUGGGAUAACUUCAGGAAACUGGGGCUAAUACCGGAUAGGAGCUCCUGCUGCAUGGUGGGGGUUGGAAAGUUUCGGCGGUUGGGGAUGGACUCGCGGCUUAUCAGCUUGUUGGUGGGGUAGUGGCUUACCAAGGCUUUGACGGGUAGCCGGCCUGAGAGGGUGACCGGCCACAUUGGGACUGAGAUACGGCCCAGACUCCUACGGGAGGCAGCAGUGGGGAAUAUUGCACAAUGGGCGGAAGCCUGAUGCAGCAACGCCGCGUGCGGGAUGACGGCCUUCGGGUUGUAAACCGCUUUCGCCUGUGACGAAGCGUGAGUGACGGUAAUGGGUAAAGAAGCACCGGCUAACUACGUGCCAGUAGCCGCGGUGAUACGUAGGGUGCGAGCGUUGUCCGGAUUUAUUGGGCGUAAAGGGCUCGUAGGUGGUUGAUCGCGUCGGAAGUGUAAUCUUGGGGCUUAACCCUGAGCGUGCUUUCGAUACGGGUUGACUUGAGGAAGGUAGGGGAGAAUGGAAUUCCUGGUGGAGCGGUGGAAUGCGCAGAUAUCAGGAGGAACACCAGUGGCGAAGGCGGUUCUCUGGGCCUUUCCUGACGCUGAGGAGCGAAAGCGUGGGGAGCGAACAGGCUUAGAUACCCUGGUAGUCCACGCUGUAAACGGUGGGUACUAGGUGUGGGGUCCAUUCCACGGGUUCCGUGCCGUAGCUAACGCUUUAAGUACCCCGCCUGGGGAGUACGGCCGCAAGGCUAAAACUCAAAGGAAUUGACGGGGCCCCGCACAAGCGGCGGAGCAUGCGGAUUAAUUCGAUGCAACGCGUAGAACCUUACCUGGGUUUGACAUGGAUCGGGAGUGCUCAGAGAUGGGUGUGCCUCUUUUGGGGUCGGUUCACAGGUGGUGCAUGGCUGUCGUCAGCUCGUGUCGUGAGAUGUUGGGUUAAGUCCCGCAACGAGCGCAACCCUUGUUCACUGUUGCCAGCACGUUAUGGUGGGGACUCAGUGGAGACCGCCGGGGUCAACUCGGAGGAAGGUGGGGAUGACGUCAAGUCAUCAUGCCCCUUAUGUCCAGGGCUUCACGCAUGCUACAAUGGCUGGUACAGAGAGUGGCGAGCCUGUGAGGGUGAGCGAAUCUCGGAAAGCCGGUCUCAGUUCGGAUUGGGGUCUGCAACUCGACCUCAUGAAGUCGGAGUCGCUAGUAAUCGCAGAUCAGCAACGCUGCGGUGAAUACGUUCCCGGGGCU